ACAAACCAAGCCUCGGUUUUGGGGUGAUUUGUCAUGAAGCAGUAAGUGCUUGAUGCAGAAGGCCAUUUUAUGAAUGGAGCAGUUGCAGGCUUUGCAGAUUUGAAAGUGAAUGAAAUCACCAAAGAAGACAAACGGAAAAGAACACUGGUGUGUCAGUGAUGAGUGGAAAGCUCAGCUGUUUUGCCAGGUGGUUUUAGAAGACAAAAAACCUUCAGAUUUUAGGAAAUGAGGACUGUCUCAUCAUCUGAUCAAGGAACAAGUGCAAGGAUAGGAAGAACGUGUUGGGAACAAGACGGUUUACGUGAAUCUUUGUGCUUCUUCAGAAAUUACCAGCUGAUUUCAGCAGGCACUGUGGACCUUAUCAUCUGGAGGGAGCUCUGUGUGCUAAAAAGGAAUGAAUAGAGCAUGGAACUACCAGUAUCUCUAUUCACUCCCUUUCCACCUACUCCAGUGAAGACACUGAGGCGAGUCAAAGAGUUUGGGAAAAAGUGUUCCAAACAGCUAAGCUUGCAAGACGAUGUGUUUGGGUCUGGAAAUAACAGUGUUAGACAAGAUGGAAAACUAGCCGCUGUCAUCAUGAAAUUUAUAUUUUCGUGGAGAAAGGAACUAAACAAACAAGUAAGUAAAUGCAUUAUACAAAUAAAUGCACUUAAAUAAAGUAAAUAAGACAAAAUUGUGCUAAGUACCAUGAAGGAAAGCAGGAGGAUGCAUGUGAGUGUACAGCAAAUGUCCUUAGAGAUACUUGGAAAUAAGCAACUGACCAAAUAACUUUCCUUUUAGCUGCCAAGUAUUCAUACGUGAGGUCAUGUAUGCAGCUCUGAGUGGGGCCACCAUCUGAAAGAACAUCGAGACCCAUUAAAACCUUGACCACACACAACUGGGUUGUGCAGUGGGACAGGAGCUUGUGCGGGAAUUAGUAGAUCCUGUCUUUAGUCUUGGCUUGGAUAUUAAUGACCUUAAGAUAUCAAUGAACAUUUGUGUGUGUCAGUUUUCUCACUAGUAGAUCAACUACAGGUUCAUCUACAAGUUGGUCUGGGUGAUCUGUAAAGCCCUAACGAUGAAAUGCUGCAUUCCCAAAAGAUGUUUCCUUAGCCUUUUCCAGAAGGGCUGGUUUUUACAUCAAGACAACAUAUGUACAGAUGCUUGGCAAGUCGUAGCGCACAGACAGGACAAUCACUGAGGGAAUUAAGUUAGAAAGAUUCAUGUGCACAUGUUCAGGUCAUAUCUGUACGGGAUUUGGAAGCAGAUAUAAUUCACCAAAGGCACCCCUGCUCCCAAGACCAUGUGCCUUAUACAGUUCCUAGGUCUGCCCGCUUUUAAAGAUUUGAUGGAAGAAUCACCUGUUCACCUUAUUACACGUAUGCAUUUACCUAAUCGGAAAAAUAACAAUAGACUUCCAGAGCAGGAGUAAAAAGAAGCAAAAAAAAAAAAAAAAAAAGCUGGACGAAGGCUCCAAGUGUGCUUGUUGGACACUGGACCCCAAAUCCCAAUACUUGGGUUCCAGUCUAGGUUUGCCACUUUCCAGCCUUGACUCAUUGGGUAAGAUUCUGAGCCUUGCAUUCUUAUCAUCCUUAUGUAAGUAAGUGGUAGAAGUUGUUCUGAAUUAGUGGCAUCUGACUUCAUCAUUAGCAUCAGAUACUCCUUCCAAUCAAACGAGGCAAGAAAUUCCAGCAUGCCUGACAGAAGCACGGGGAGCCACACUGACUGAAGGAAAGAUUGAACACCUGUGGCCAUGCUAACUGGCCUUUCCCUCUCACUCCUAAAGCUGUCUUGAGGCAGGAAAUCAGGACUUCUGGAAAUCCAGUUUGGAAGCCCUGGGACUAAAGAGCUUCUGCACUGAUGACAAUCUGGUGAUAUUGCCAUGCAUGGUCCUUUGAAGUCCCCUCGAUGGUCACCAAUACACCCACUGACUUUUCCCAGCUUGUACUAACUUACUACGUAAAAGGACAUGGGUGAGUAACAGAGUCUCUCCCUUGAACGGUUUCUGAGCUUUGGUGGCUUUGAGUACUGCAGAGCUUGACUGCAGGUCCCUGCCUUGCUGCUUCCAUAUUCCAGCCACUCUACUUUAAGUGAAUGCUGGCUGGUAUUUAGGGCAAUCUGGUGGGUUAAUUAGAGCCCACCAUGGCGAUUUAAUCCUGCAUUAGGUAAAGACACUGUACAGACUGUGGAACACUUGACUUAUGCAAAUAUGACCUUACACAGAUUGUUCUGUGGAGCCCUUAAUAACAUUUUAGACAUGGAAAUGUUCACUGUGGGCAGAAACACAAAGUUCUGUGGUGUGUGGCUGAUUGCUGGGAAGCCAGAGUGCUGGGCAGGCCGCAACCACCCGAGGGGAGGGCCUUCAGACUUUGCUUCCGCGUUGCUAUUUUCCUGUGGGUGUUUGCCAGGCGAUGAGUGCUAUUUCAGGAUUGUUUGUGUUGUUACUCCAUUUAUUGCAUUCUAACUGUGACUGAAUAAACCUGGUAAUAGCAAGGGGGUACAUUAAAAGAAAAAAAAAAUGAAAGUUUAAAGGUUCUUAAAAAUGCCAAAGCUUUUAUUCCAUUGUAUGUGGAUUUUAUUUGGCUACUUCAACAUUGAAAAGUAUUUUCAACAAAAGUGCAAGCAUAAAAGAGCACAUAAUGUUUUCUGCACUUGGUGCAAUGUGUAAGAGUCUAGGUUCGGGAUCUAGACAGAUAGACUCAGAGUUUUGUCUCCUCUUAGAUUGUCAGAUUGCUUAAUGUCUUCCAGUUCAGUUUGUCUUCUGUAAAAUGGGUGUGAUGAUACUGGAGUCUCAUAAGAUUUUCCUAAAGAUUAAAUGAGAUAACAUAUGUAAAGUGCCUAGCUUUUGGCCUGGUACUUACAAAGUCAUACAACUCACAAUUAAAUUUCAUUUUUGCAUUGUUGGUAAAGUUUGCAUUUCAUAAAUAGCACCUGCUGUGAUAGCACUAUGGGAUUGUUUUUUCUGAGUACUUACAAAAGCAGGAUCUAAACGAAAAGUUAGCAAUAAUGCAGACAAAGGAUGAAAUUUAAAAAUGUUUGCUAUGUACUCCAAUGAUAAUUCAAACAAAGAAGAUGGAGAGGGAAACUAUAAUGCUUAUAAUGCAAUGCUGUGGGAAGCCAUGGGUGGUUCAAUAGAUUGAAAAGUUGUGCCAGUGUUAAAAAUGUAAAAGUGAGAGGUUGAGAAGGCUAGUGCAGUCAUAGAGCCACACAAAUUAUCGUAAAAUGUUAUGAAUAAUUAUACGAAGAAUCUGGUAUGGCACAUAGCAAGUUUUUGUCGUGAAUUAAAUUGGGCUGCUUUAGGGAAUGAUGUCAAAAAGAGGCAGACAAUGAACUGUCAGUUUUAAAGACCACAUGAGCUAGUCAUGCGUGACUUUUCCUAAAGGGUUCAUGUGUUAGUUAAAGCUAAUACUGGCACCGGGUUAUCAUUUAGAAAAUCCAUGUGUACUCGAAGGUCUUGGCAAGCUUGCUUAUGUGUAUAUAUUUGAGCCAAACAUGCCUUGCAAGACAAGGGGAGCAGCAUGGGUGAAAAAGUAAGUAGAUCUGGGCCUCUCUGAGGAAACGGGGCUGUAAGACCAUGCUUUUAUCUUUGGCAAUAGAAUAACCAUCAGUCCAAAUGACUUACUGUUGCCUGAGGCUCUCUUUCCAUUAGGAGUUUAUAUUUUUAUCUUCUUGACUUUCAGCUGCUGGUAGGUUCUCCCUGAUUGACUUCUUACAUUUCUGUUUGGCCUACAUUUACUUUGAGUACACCUGUAUCCUUUGGAGAGAGACCUUCUUAGGCUUGCUAAAUUGAAAGCUUCAUUUAUUUGCUAUUUUUUUUCUUUUUGCCAAAUAGCCCACUUUUGUCUAGAAGUUGGACUGGCAGGGCCGCUGAAGCUGUGGGUUGACACUGCCGAGGAUGUCAGAACAUCCUUAGCCGCAGAUCAUCUUUAAGAACACUUUGCUUAUUUCAUCAUGGUGAGAAAGAACAUUUAACAUGCGAUGAGCCCUCUUGCCACACAGGUACAAUGUUGCACAGCAGAUCUCUAGAAUUUACACGUCUUCAUCCUUGCUGAGCGGCAGGUGUUCACCUUUAUACCUGCUGGAACUUCAUACUUACGGAACAGUAACUCUCCAUUUCCCUUCCCUGUAGUUUCUGGCAACUGCCAUUUUACUUCCUGUUUCUAUGAGUUUGACUACUUUAGAUUCCUCACAUAACGAAUCACUCAGUAUUCGUCCUUCUGUUGCCACAGAUACACUUGCAUCAGCUGAUGCUGUCUCGGAUAACCUGGGAUUUUAGUCUUUCAACCUAGCAUGGUGCCUGGACUGGAGGAGGCAUUCAACACAUACUCUUUGAGAGAGAUCUUAUUUAGAUUCGCUGAAUUAAAAGCUUUAUUUGGGCCGGGUGCGGUGGCUUAUGCCGGUAAUCCCAGCACUUUGGGAGGCCAAGGUGGGCGGAUCACCUGAGAUCAGGAGUUCAAGACCAGCCUGGCCAACGUGGUGAAAACCCGUCUCUACUAAAAAUACAAAAAUUAGCUGGGCAUGGUGGUAGUCUCCUGUAAUCCCAGCUACUCGGGAGGCUGAGGCAGGAGAAUUGCCUGAACCCAGAAGGUGUGGAGGUUGCAGUGAGUGGAGAUUGUGCCACUGCACUCCAGCCUGGGAGACAGAGUGAGACUUCAUCUCAAAAUAAAUAAAAUAAACAAAUAAAAUAAAAGCUUUGUUUAUUUAUUUUUUUGCCAAAUAAUCCAUUUUGGUACUCUUUGGAUGCAUGGAAGAAAAAGAUUGUGGCCAAAUAUACAUCUUUAUCAAUAAAAUCAAUUCACUGCUAAGUACUAAAGAGUAAAAAAUGACAAAUGUGACAGUAAUAACAACAUUCAUUCUUUGAGAGUUUACUGCCUGCCAGCCCUGGCACUAGGCUUCACGUUCAUGUAAUCCUCACAGCAAUCCUGGAAGGUAUGUAUUAGAAUCUCCAUUUUGUUGACGGGUGGCAGUAUUUUAAAGUGUGGAGAAUAGCCAGGAAGGCUACAAUGUAGUUGUAAUUGAGCUCAUGCAUAGGAGAUUAUGGAAUGAUGUGAUAACUGAGUCCUUCACUGUCCCCAAGCUCUGAUGGAAAUAGUUGCAGACCAUCACAGUCACAGCCUGGGCAAGCCUUUCUUUUUUUUCUUUUUGUUGUUUUAUUUCAAUAUCUUUUGGGGUACAUGCGGGUUUUUUUUUUUGUUAUAUGGAUGAAUUAUAUAACAGCGAAAUCUGAGAUUUUAGUGCUCUCAUAACCUGAGUAGUGCACGUUGUACCUAAUGUGUAGUUUUCGUCCCUAGCCCUCCUCCCGCCCUCUCUGAGUCUCUGAAGUCCAUAAUAUCACUCUGUUUGUCUCUGCAUACUCACAGCGUAGCUCCCUCUUGUGAGAACAAGCUGAGAACACAUGGGUUUGGGUUUUCCAUUCUUGCGUUAUUUCACUUAGAAUAAUGGCCUCCAGCUCCAUCUGAGUUGCUGCAGAAGACACUAUUUGUUCCUUUUAAAGGCCGAGUAGUAUUCCGUGACGUAUAUACACCACAUUUUCUUUAUAUACGCAUCAUUCGAUGCGCACAUAGGUUGGUUCCACAUUUUUGGGCAAGUUUUUCUUUCAUAACAUCGAUCUAUUUGGUCAUUUCACCAUUCAGGGUGACAUAGGUAUUUUAGGUACUCUGAUUAUUUUAAAGAAUAAACCCCUAGACAUGUGCUUACUGAAAUGAAUUUAGUUUACCCAGACAUAUUCCCGGUUCUUAAGCAUGUUUCCUUGUUGACAUUCAGCCAUUUCAGUUUGGUUUACUGCUGAACUUGAAGGAAUCAACUGUUCUCUUAGAGUAAGAGUUUUGCUUCUUGUCUCCGAAACGAUGCCCUUGAGUGCCCUGUGAGACGUAAAUUGCCAGCAUGCAUCCUGGCAUCCUGGCAUCCUGGAGUGAUGUUCAGAGGAGAGUGGCAAGACUGCUCUAGAGCAGUUUCCGUGGAAAUGUCUUUCUCUCUGUCCCCCACUCUCUCGCUAUCAUGUUUUCUCUCUACGUUGUAUGUUGAGGAGAACCAAUCCCAUUAGUAAUAAAAAUCAAUAGCACUGAAAACAGUUGUGGUCAGAAUAACUCUAAGGAACCAUUCUUCAAAACCCACCGCCGCAUGUCAAACCCCGACUCCACGAACAGGGCAGUAGUUUGAUCCUAAAGUAUUUGAAUUUACUUUAUGUUCUUUGGCUGUAAAUAAAAAAAAAAAAAGCCUCUUUGUUCCUAAAUUUAAAUCAGAGUUAAUUUACUGAGUUAAUUUAAAAAAUUAACUCAAGCUAAUUGGCCGUCAUUAAUUUCAUGUAGAAUUUUAGUGCUUUAUAAAAAUUGCCUAUGAAGAAAAUCCACAGACAGACGUUCUGAGUAAGCACAGAGACAUUAGGUUUCAAACAGUUGGCCUGGGCAUAGGCACACCUUUUAAUUACACUGAACUUAUGAUGGGUCAACAUUUCAAGGUUUAUCUGAAUUGUGUAUUACCUUGAGCAGUGUCAUCACGCUCAGGGCAAUCGCUGACCUUGAAGGAAGAGAGUUAAUAAUGAAUAGCAAUUCAGCAAUUGGCCAUGUCACGAAAUAACUGGGGGAGGGGGGCAGAUAGAGAGAGAGAGAGAGAGAGAGAAACGUGAAGCUAAUGAUCCCUCCGGCUUUAUGUUCUUUUUCCAAGGGACAAUGAACAUAUACUCAGCCGUCCACAUUUUCUUUCCAACUUCUCUCCAGCUGUAUUUAGGAACCCUGUCUCUGGCUGUGUCUUUGGUUUUGUGGCCUAAACUGUCUUGUAUGGGAAUAAAACUUGCCAGCCUUUUUCCUUGUGUGUGUUAGACAGAGAACGCGUAUUAGUUGAAUUGAUUUUACCCUAAUCUCCUUAGGAUUAUGCUCCAGGAGGUGGGAGUGGCUUGCAUCACCACUCAGAAACUCAACUCUUAAAACUCAUAAUUUCUCCUUUCUUUCUUUUUUUUUAAAUUCCUCAAAAUAAAAACCUCUCCUUACUUUCUCUAGGAUGAAGAAAUCUUCUUUAAUGCAGAAAGACAAUUAUUCCACAAUAUUAUUAUUUUUAUAUUCUUUUCCUCAUCUUCUUUGCAAUGGUACCACAUUUUUUUUUUAAAGCCCACAAUAAUUUUUUUCAGCCUCACAUUAGCACUGAGAAGUACUUGUUGUUAAGACUAUCGGUUACAAAGCAUGUUCUUACAUAAACUACCCUGUCUUUGGAAAGCGAGCCCCCCUAGCCUGGACUGAAUGGGGUGGUCACUGAAGGCAAAGUGGAGGCACAGACCACCCGUGCGGCCCAGGCGAGGUCUCUUCCCGGCGACCCCUACAUACUGUCCCAUCCCUGUCCUUCUGUCCACUGAAAAGUGCCUGUGAGAACUCACUGCAUUCCAGCCUCACCUCCCUGGCAGGGCAUCUGCGAACCGAGACUUGUAAGAAUUCCUGCCAAGUAAGCUACGGAAUGCAAAGUGGUAUAUGAAUAUGUAAUGGCAGCCAUUAUCAGUUGAUCCCCCUGUCUUUGGAAAGAAUCAUUUCAUUCACUGUGGAGAGGAGGGGCAAUUUGAAAUGGCCUGAGGUAAGUGGCAUUUCAUAUAUUGCCAAUCAAAUUAACCUUGAACCUUUCUCUGCUACUUAGAAUUCUUGUUCUUUUUCUUCUUUCUCCAUCACUGAGAAUUAAGAUGAUGUGUAUAAAACCACUUUUCUCUCUGCAAUAUUGCACUUCAUCUUCCCUUCCCUCCCCAAGGAGGAGGGAGAGGAACAGUUCUGUGCAUCAAUCAAACUGACUGAGACUUACAGUGGGGAAAAGUGAGACUCUGUCACCGAAUGCAGGAGACACCAUUGUCUCCGCUGCAACCCAGUAAUUGCAUCUCCCAAACUCCUCUACCCUCCAGCACUGGAUUUGCAAAUGCAGCUUGAUCUGCGUUGGGCAGCGUGAGCCUCAGAUCAGAGCUGCCAAACAUGCACUUAUAAAAUUUUACAGGAGUGUGCAUCUGAGACUCUCUCAUUUCCUGGUUCUCACACGUGGAAUUUGGAUCUUUGAUAGAGUAGGUCUCUUUGGAGCUCCUGGCCGAUUUCCUCUUUAUCUGAACAGAAAGCAGCCAUUAUAUAAAUGUACGUAGUAGGAGGCUAUUUAAUCUGUGCAUUUUGUAAAUAAGUAUUUAAUAAUCAUGUACCUUUUCAAUAAACUCAUAGGUAUACUCACAUACACAAAAAUGCUGUGAAGAUAUAGAUAUACAUUUUUCUUUCUUAACUUGAUCUCCCGGCUACAUUAGGCAAAUAAGAAAUCCACCCUUUUUGAUAGUCUGUGUCUUACUCCUAAAUAGUCAUUCUGCUGGUUAGAAUGACUAUUUUAUUUCAGUUGUGCUCUCUAUUUUCUAAUCCCCAUAAUUUUAUUCAUGCCGUUCCCACCUGGACUGCCUGUCCCUCCCCGUCAGCAUGUCUACCAUGUACGUAACCUUAUUAUGUAAGCUCAAGACGACACAAUUUUAAUCCUAUUCAUUGUUCUUUUGUUUUAUACCUGCCUUAAUGGAAGUGGUUUCUUUCUUUUUCAAAACCCUAACACACUUCAUAGCUACUUCAUGGUACUUACUACAUCAUAUUUUGUACUACGACUAUAUGAUUCUUGUUUUCUUGAGUCUUCUAAAUUUUAUGAUCUAUGUAGGCAAGAGCCAUGCUUGAUAUUCACGUACUUCACACCUAGUGGCAGAAGGAUUGAAAAAGGCUUACAAAAGUUUACAGAAAAUAAGAGAAACUAAAAAUAAAUGAGAAAAAUGAGGCCAACAAUUUUUCUUUGUUGCUGAAUGGUACCUGGAACAGUGCCCUUGAAGCAGAAGAGUGGGGUACUGUGAGUCCCCCGGGGGAGGUGUCUCCAGGCUUCUCUAGUCAGAGGGCAGUGGAGCUCCUGGUCAGCAGCCAGCAUUUCCGCACAUGCACCCAAACUUGGGCAGUAGAUUCUGUCACUUUGUAUCUAUAUUCCAUCCAAUUCAUAUUAAUAGCUAUGCCUGAGCAAAUAAAUAUAAUAUACAUUAAAGAAUACACUUUUAUCUCUAGGAUCUGUGCCCAGUGAGGCAGAAUGAAGUGGGAUAUGUAAGAGAAAGUGAGUCUUGGUCUUGGUAUUGGAUAAAGUACCCUGGCAAGCAAGAGCCGAUUCUUGUUUGGGGGAUGGUUUGGGCAAAUAUGUAAAGGCAGCACCAGAAAGAAAUUGUGGCAUGUGUGGAGAGAGGGAUAGAUAGAUAGAGAGAGAUAGAGAGAGAGAGAGAGAUAGAUAGAUAGAGACUCUCUCUCAGCUGGAUUAGAAGGGUCGAAUUGAAUGUUGCUGAUAAUACUACACUUACAGGUUACUCUCACCAAGACUGAGGAAUAUCAGAAUGAAGGAAGUAGACAGAGGGUUUUCUUUAAGGUUAUACAUGUAUUUAUUAUGUCAUCGUUCUUUCCCUCUAAAUAGUAAUACACUGAAAAUUACGGAGACCAUACAAUUGGUUGUCCAAACUGGAACAUUUCUGUGAGUGGCAGGUGACACCGUUAUUGAUGCAGGACGGCAGGCACAAGCCAGCCCUCUCCUCGGCAGCCAGGAUGCCCAGUCACCUUCUCAGUAGUGAUUGUCAUGUCUGUAGAAGGGAUCAGAAGACCAAUGUGACAGCUGGAUAUUUUUUAUACUGAAAAUAGUUUAGUUUUAUCUUUAAUUGUUCACUGAAAAGGCUGUUUUGCUUUAUUAUUUUUUUAACACCAGCCUUACAGAAUCACGGCUGGUCAGUAUCUUCCCCCAUAUAUUAGAUGUGGUUUCUUACAGUGUUUUCUAGACAACCACGGAUUGUCGAAUAUCCUCAUUGAGUGCUUAUGGAUUUCCUCUGCCUCGUUUUCUGUCUCUUGACUUGUGUGGUUGCUUUUCUGUUGUCCUUGUUUGCCACACUUCCAUUUUAGGGAAGUUGUGUUAGGGUAGGCGUUGCUUCAAUCUAUAUCUGUGCUGUUGAUGACCUUCUUCUGCCAGUUUAAAUUCAGCAGGACUUGGGGUGAAGCUGAUCAAACUAACCAAGAUGUCAGGUGAGCGGGGAGCCUCGUUUCACUACUCAUAACAAAAUUCAUGACAACACUGCAUUACAGUUCAUUAGUUUGGUUUGGAUACAAGAUGUCAUUAAGAGCGGCAAUUUGAAUGGCAGGUAUGUCUCAUAAAAAAAGGUAAAGUUUCUCCCUAUUCCCCCUAAAGCUUUAUUCACGCUGACAAAGAGAAAUAUAGAGUUGUUUAUCUAGAAAAUCCAGGCUGAAAACUUUUAUCACCAAAGACUAAAAUUAUACUCUCUCAAAUGACCUAUGUUGAUGGCUAACAUUGAUUAAAUUCUUUGAAUUAUUGCCUAAAUCUUUAUUUCAUUUAUCUAGUGUAGAAAAUAAUGCAGAAGAGCUCUAUAAUCAAAUGCCUGACAGUCUGAAUACCAUUCCUCAAAGGGUUUCCAGUCUUUAAAAAUGUUAUCCCCAUUUUGGGAGCAGAGAAUGGAACAGUACCAGUUGAAAUUCUAGGGAUGACUUUGGAAACAGAAGACUAUGAUACUUCUUUUUUUACUUUAUUAAAAUUGUGACCAGAACGACAUUACCUUAACAUUGGAAAGCCAGCUGGGAGUGACUGGAACUCAGGAACUCAGCGUUUUUCUGUUGUCUUGGUUGCUUAGGAAAGGGAAGGGAGCCAGCUGAUUUUCUGUCUUAUGUGUUAAGAAUGCGUAAUCGGCCACACAUAAAUAAAAGUUUUACAGUAUAUAAUAAUCUGUAAAUGGAUACUGAUUUACUAUGAAAACAAUUAUCUCUGUACAAAAUGUCUCAAUAGGUUUAUGAUGGUUGCUUCCGAUCAAGGAUCAGAUCUGAUAGCAUAAGAGGUGGGUACGAUUUGUCUACUUGGGCUCUUCCUGCCUGAAUCUGAGCUCCACUGGGUACCGAACACUGAUUGAUAAUAGACGUUCUAGAGAUACGUCAAAGGCAGCAGUGAGAAGGGCUUUGACAGCCUUUCCUUUCACCAGUGGCAAAGAUAAGGGCUGGCAGGAAGGAUCCUUCCCUUUACACAAUUAUGUCUGGGGAUCUCCAGCAAAGCGUAGUGAUUUUUUUGCUUUCAUUUUUAAAAGCCAAAAUGCUCUGAACAUUUCAUGCUCAAUUCAUAAUCCACUUUCACAUUUUCCAUUACUCAGAGGAAAUGGGAGGCCUGGGCUUUAGAUACAAAUAAUCAAAAAUACACAUUCACUUUUCAUGUGUUGUUGAUGAUGCUUCGUUAAUAUUGUACAAAGCAAAUUCGAGAAGGCUCCACUAAGGAGAGUGAAAAUGGUCUAGGGGAUGAUGUCAGCUCACAGACAAUGAGAAAAAGAAAAGUUUCUGUCUUCAGGUGGGAGAAAAUUUGUCAAGGACUUUGUUAUCUGCUUAGGAACUAGUCCUCUCUUGAUUUCCAUGCCUCUACUUUCAAUUCUGUAUCAGCUUUUUACAAGGACCAACACCAAAAUGAUCAUGUUUUAAUUCCUCUUACCUAAUCAGCUUGGUAAAUUGGAUACAUUAAUUAUUAUACCUUGGACAGUUUUCCCCUUUCGUGAAGGUUAUGAAGGAAUGAGACACUUUUUAUAUAGUCUUUUGCUUUUGCAGUCACAAAGAAGUUUUUUUUUUUUUUUUAGAUGGAGUCUUUCUCUGUUGCCCAGACUGGCAUGCAGUGCCGUGAUCUCAGCUCACUGCAACUCUGCCUACCAGGUUCAAGCAAUUCUCCUGCCUCAGCCUCCAAAGUAGCUGGACCUAUAAGCACAUGCCACUAAGUCCUGCUAAUUUUUUACAGUUUUAGUAGAGACAGGGUUUCACCAUGCUGGCCAGGCUGGUCUUGAACUCCUGACCUCAUGAUCUGCCCUCCUCGGCCUCCCAAAGUGCUGGGAUUACAGGCGUGAGCCACCAUGCCAAGCCAGUCACAUAGAACUUUUAACUAAUAUCAUAACAAUAAACACAAAUAGAAUUUCAAUCAAGGAAAGAAACUUAAUUUGAAAUAUGGGUGCUCAUUCUCUGGACAAAUGUUUAGCACAUUAAAAAAAAUGCACCUAGCUCCUCUGAUGAGACAGUAAGAGGGUACAUUUGGGACCACUUCCUGAAGGAGCUUAACUUCCAAUAAGUGAGAACAUUUUGCAGGUCAUACAUGCCACUAUAAUAGAGAGAUGAAACUCCACAAGAGAGCUACAGAUUAACCUAUGUGAUUGGAGACACUAUUUCUAUCCAGGUGAGUUAGGAGUGAUCCAUGGGGGAGGAGACAUUUAAUCUGAGAGUUAAAUCGUACUUAGAAGUUAGACAUUUGAAAAUGAGUGAGUUUAUGUAAUAGCUACUUAUUAGCUAGUUAUUAUUAUUGUUAGUUAUCUAUUGCUGCAUAACAAAUCACUCCCCAGCACAGUGGCUCAAAACAGCAAAGAAUUAUUAUUUUGCAGUUUCCAUAGGGCAGGAACUUGGGAACAGCUUGGCCGGGGAUUCUACCCAGGACUCUCACGAGGUUGCAGUCAAGAUUUUGGCCAGUGCUCAUCUGAAGGCCUGAAGGGGGCUGGAGGAUCUGCUUCCAAAUGGCUGGCUCUCGUGGCUCCUGGAAGGAGGCCUCAGUUCUUUGCUGGCUGUUGCCAAGAGGGCUCCAUGGCUAACCAUGUGGGCCUCUCCACAGGCUUGCCUGAGUGUCCUCAUGACUUGGCAGCUGGCUUUUCCCAGAGCCAGCAGUGAGAGAGAAAGAGAGAGAAUGACCACAAGCACACAAAUAAUACAGAGGAGGCAGCUUCUGGGUUUGAGUGCAUUGUCUUCACUUCUACUUCAUUCUGUUCAUUAGAAGGGAGCCGCUAAGCCCAUCCCACAUUCAAGAGGAGGGCAAUUAUGUCCCAUCUCUCAAAAGAAGAGAUAUCAGAGAAUUCAGGAGCAUGUUUCUAGAACCGUUGCAAUGGGGCUGGGGAAGAUAGGGGAAGAGCAUUCAACUUCGGAGAGGGGCUGGUCAUGGCGGAGAUCGACACUUGGCGAUAAGUACAGGAUGUGCUGGGCGAUUCAGUUUUCAGAGCUUCAGACUGAGAUAAUAGUAGAAAAUAAGAUGGGAAACAGAGAUAAGGAAUUAGACUCUGUCGGGCAGGGCUGGGAACUGUGCAAGGUGUUUGAACGGGGUGGAGGGAGGCAUAGUCACAGUUAUAUUUUAGGGCUUAAUCUAGCAGCAGGAAGAAUCUAGCUUCGAGAAUUUGGAGAGAGCAAAAGAGGGAGCAUAUUAGGAGGCCACCGUGGUCAGCAAGGAACGGACCUGGAAAGUGAAAGCUUCAAAACGAACACUGCUCUUCCUUCCAACUCUACACGGUAUGAAUAGCUACAAAGAUGAAUACAUUUUUAUGUGUCUGACCCAACUGUUCAUGGAAUCUGCCUGUGUUUUAGAUGCUGCUCCUUAUGAAGCUUUUACUGGGCUGGUGAGCUGAGCUGUAAGCUCGAUGCACGACAGCAGUCCUUUCUGUGCUGCUUGAGUAUGGUUUGUCCCUUGGAUGGCAACUGCACAGAAUGCCCACAGGGUACAUUCCUAAUUGAGUCUGUCUCUUAACCACAGGAAGAGCCCAGUGUUAUUGCUCAAAAAAAAACCCAUCCUAAAUUGGAAUUGUUCAUGGCAAAAUUGCCACCCUUUUUUCCUCAGUUCCCAACAUCUCCAUUACCGAGAAUGACAUUAUUCUUCUACAAGCACUUAAAGUGUUCAUUUACUCACCGUGUAUAUUCAUGUCCUUCCAUUUGCGAUGUAGAGGUUUCCUGGGCUUCAUGGAGCUGUCCAUUCCCACCAUACGGGCAACACAGGCCACUAAAAAGCCAGGGGUAUGGCCAGAGUUAGAAUUCCAACACGGACUUCCUGACCUCUCCAUUGUUUCUGUAGGAAACCUGAGAACUCCAGGCUGUAGGAUUUAUUCUCUCUCUCUCUCUCUGAAUUUAUAUGAAUUCAUUAAUCUCUAAGAGUUUUCCUAAUUGUGGGUUGAGCACUGGUUCAUUUUCUCAUCAACUUGAUUACAAGCACACAGAAAUGUGUGGGCCAGUAUCUCGUGCAUUCUUUUAACUGCAGGUAGGGGGAGGUUUGUGCCCAAUGCGUUGAGGGAACUUACUAAGUUUCCAGUUGAAGAGCACCAUUUAGAUGAGACUGGUCCCCUUUAUUAUAUUAUCUCAUCUUCCACACAAAUGUUUUAUUCUUUCUCUUCGUACCUCGAAAUCCCAGCUGUGGUUGAAAGCCUAGAUUAUGAUGUGUAGCACCUGGCCACUCCCCUCUUUAUGUGGGCUGCCUUUUGGACCCUAUGUAAGGGCUAGAUGAAAACUUUAAGUGGCUUUUAAGUUCCCCAGCGUUCAUUUUCAUCCAGUUAAUCCAAUUUACAUGUGGAUAAAUUUAAGUGAUAAUAAUGUAAUGUUUUGUGAAUAUUUACCAUCCUGGAUGUAUUUGGUUGUUUCUCUACAUUGUUAAUGUUGCUCAGGAGUUAAUGCAGUAUGAUUCAUUGCCCGUUUAGUAGAGCUUCCAGUAAUGGCUUAGAUGGUUCUUAGGGUGUGCACCAAGGUUUAAUAAUGGAAUGAUACCCCUUUUUUUUUGAGAUGGAGUUUCACUGUUGUUACCCAGACUGGAGUACAAUAGCACAAUCUCGGCUCACUGUAACCUCUGCUUCCUGGGUUCAAGCAAUUCUCUUGCCUCAACCUCCUGAGUAGCUGGGACUGCAGGCGUGUGCCACCAUGCCCAGCUAAUUUUUGGAUUUUUAGUAGAGACGGGGUUUCACCUUGUUGACCAGAAUGGUCUUGAUCUCUUGACCUCGUGAUCCACCCACCUCGGCCUCCCAAAGUGCUGGGAUUACAGGCGUGAGCCACCGCGCCCGGCCUGAUACCCUUUUUUUAAUAGUGCAUUUUUGUUGCUGCUAUCAGUGAAAUAUUCUGAAGCCCUCAGCAUAUCUUCCAACUCCUGGAAUAUUAGUAAAUACAAAUUGGAGGUGAAAGGGAUUAUGACCUAGGCAUACCUUUCUGCCUAGGUAAUUUGUACAGUUUUUGGGAAACUAUGAAUAACAGUUGCACUCUGAGGGGAUCAAAGAACCUUCUAGCCCAACUCUCAUUUUUUUUUUCUGAGAGAAGAGUUGUCUUGCAAAGAUGUGGAGUGGUUUCUCAAGGGUGUAGGGCCAAUUUCUAGGAGAUCAUCUGUGACUUAUAUACUAAGUUUUCUGGAUCCAGUGCUUUAUCCAAUAAAAGCAUACAAAAGAACCCAUUACUUCAAAAAAAAAUUCCUCCACCCCUCCUCUUCCUAAAUCUAACAAUCUAAUACCAAAUGAAGCCAAGAUAAGAAAUCUGUACUUGCUAAUUUCUUUUUCUUUUAUCUUCCAAGUUAUCAGCUUCCAUAGAAGUGGUAGAACAGUGUUGUCUUACUGUACUUCAAAUAGUGAAUAUCAAGGACCAUUUGCUGAGUAAUCGUACUCAAAAAAAAUCAUCAACCAGGCGCGGUGGCUCAUGUCUAUAAUCCCAUCAAUUUGGGAGGCUGAGGCAGGUGGAUCACUUGAGGUCAGGUAUUUGAGACCAGCCUGGCCAACAUGGUGAAACCUUGUCUCUCCUAAAAAUACUAAAAUUACCGGGCAUGGUGGAGUGCGCCUGUAAUUCCAGCUACUCAGGAGGCUGAGGCACGAGAAUCAUUUGAACCCAGUAGGCAGAUGUUGUUGCAGUGAGCUGAGAGUACGUCACUGCACUCCAGGCUGGGGGACAGAGUGAGAGCCUGUUUCAAAAAAAAAAAGAAAUUUUCUAAAUUAAUAUACAAAUAUAGAGUGGAGUAAUGAACAUACGCACUGAAAUUAUCAGAAACAUAGGAAUACCUUUCAGGUAUAAACAUGCAUGAUAGGUUUUCAAAAUGUAACUAUCAUAUUUUGGAGUAUGUUGAUGCCAUAACAACAUUGUUUUUUAAAAAGUUAAUUCUAGAGGUAGCAGAAAAAUCUUUAUAGGGAAGUUGGCCUUUGAGAACAUCCUGGAAGGAGGGAAAAAAGGAGGAGGAAAAGGAAAAGAAGGAUAAAGAUGAGGAGGGUAUUUGAAUGAGGCAAAGGUGGAAGACAAGUAUUUCUCGAUGUUCAGAGCCACAAGUGGACAGGUAUGUAGUGUUAUUUGGGUUAUUUAUAAAUAAUAGUAUAACUAUAUAUUAUUUUGUCAUGCAUUAAUAGAGACCAUGGUGAUGUAAGAUUGGAAUGGGCAUAUCUGAAAAGGUGGGAAGUUGGACGUUGCACACAGAGGAUUGAAGAUGGCUGUACUGGCUGAUGGUUGGGGAUGGAAACUCCUGAAAUAGAAACUAGUAAGUUUGACCAUUCUUGUUUAAGAAGGGGCAAUCAGAUGCUCUAGGAGUGGAAAUUCUUGUAGGCUACAGGGAUAUGAGUUACACAGUACCAGAGGCAGGAAAAGACCAUCCCAGUGUGAUGAAGAGACACUGUGGACUUGAAGUCAGAAAAGUCAAAUAUUGCUGAAAUCAUGGUUUAAAUAGUUUGACAAGGAGUGUCAAAAUCUGCUAGUCACUGCAUCUGCCUCUCUAGUGCCUCAAAGAGUGCUGGCACAUAAUAGGUGCUCAAAUAUUUAUAGACUACUUAAACUAGGCCUUUGUGGCAGCAGCAGGAAGAAUCAGAGAAAUCAGAUACUAUUAUGGAGGAGGGUGAGUAAAGUUUUCAAAUAAGAACAAAUACAAUGUCAAAGAAGAGUUUUCAUUUGAAUUUUGCCAAGAUGACAGAUUUAACCGUAUUUCCCCAGGAGCUGAUGGUUUUGGAGGGCGAUGGCAUUGGAGCCUGAAUAGAAAACAUCUGGAGAUUUGGGGCAUGCCCUCAAGCAGUCAUGUUUCCUUUUAGUGUUGGUUCUGGAACUCAUUAGAUACUUUGACAUUUUUGUGCUUCAGCAGUGUUAGAGCCAAAGACCUUGAGGUCCUCUGAAGAUUCAUUUCCUAUGAUGCAGCAACCUCUAGCACAGAGUUCGCAUUCCAAGAAGUGCUUAAUAUUUAACAUGCUCUGACUUCCUUAAUCACCUUUCAACAUCAGAAUCCUGUGCUUUAUCAGAUAAGCCUUUUUUUAGCCCAUGGCAGCUGAUACUGUUUCAUCCAAUCACAAGGCGUUCAUCUCGGAUGAUGUUGUCUUCAGUGCUGAUUCAGGAUCUUUCACCAAAUUCACAUGUCCUGUCCCUUGCCCAGGAAGGAAGUUAGAGAAAAGCUGCAAGCCUCGAACUCUCCUCCUUCUCUUGCUACUGUCAGAAUGGAGGCUGCCUAAUGAUUUUGAAGAGGAACCAGCAGCACGAUGGGAGCCCUGUCUUCUUUUGUGGGGAAACAGCAUUUCAUUUAACCAGAAAUGCAAAUGAUUCCUGAAGUCAUACUCUAUCGAUGCAAAAGAAGGAUUCCACGAUGGUGCUCAAGUUGGAAGCUUUGGGAAGCAGAUUAACGCAAAAUACAAGUCAACAGAAAUGUGCAGAAAUUCAAAGGCAUUUUGAAAUGACUGAAUGGAAAAAAAUUCCAACUUUGAAAAGUGACUGAGCUACAAACAGUUAAACAAGGCUUGUUCUGGUAAAGAAAGGCACUCACGGCACCUCCUUGGAUAGAACCACUCCAAGUUGGCCAGACCAGCGAACAGCUACCAUGCUCCUACUGACACUCUGAGGUGGCUGAGUUUGUAGGACACACACCUGAAGACUAGAAAGGGGGUGCUUCUAUCAUGGCGGCGAGGUGGGUGUCUCAUGUAAAGGGAGGAGACAGGAUUAAUUAGAUAGUAGUCUAGUGGGGAACAGAAGAGGGAGAAAAUAAGAAAGUAUUUGUUCUCAGUUCGCCCUAAAGACCCACCCGGUGAGGUCUUAUCCUCCCCAGUAGUCCAUGGGAACGAGUUAGCAAUGCCAGGGAUGGAACACCUGCUCUGCUGGUGUGGUGUUCUCCAGAACCUGAUGGAAGGCUCAGUGGAAAACAUGCUUUAGUCUUCAGCAUCCUUCAGCAUGUUUUUAGUCAAAGGAAGAAUGGGAGGAGGUAUUUGGAAAGGGGUAGCCCAAUUAAAGGAAGAAAAUGGGGACGAGAUAAAUUUGGAAUGAGAUUGUUCUCUCCAGGCAAACUCUAUCCUCUGGUAGGAGAGUCUGUUCCAAUACCAAACGGAGCAAUUGCUGACUUAGAACCAGCAAUGAUCAAAAUGGGUCAAGCAUACCUCCCACAUACUUGCUUUAUGCCUCCAGGUGAUUUGGGUCAUGAGGCCUUUCACUGUCCAGCAUGCCAUUCACAGGUGUGUAUAAGUAUCAGGAGGUGUUUCUGUUCUGUUAAGACGGGGUCCAGAAUAAAUUGAACUGCAGGACGAAGUCCUAUGACAUCAGCAUUCUGAUUCAACUGCGUUUUUCUGACCUGCAUGUGUGCAGAUGAGAGAGUGAGUCUAGGUAUGUGUAAACGUAGGUGUGUGUGUUGUGUAUGUUAGGGUGGUCUUGGGAGUUUUGUGUGUUUUCUUGUGUUUACAAGGUUGGGGUUAGGAGGAGGAGAAAUGUGACAGGAGUCAUUUUAUGGUUUAUUUCUUGGAAGAAGGGAAGUGUACAUAAAUGAUUCUGUCUUCAAGUCUUCAAGUUUUUAAGUUGUUCACUAAUGAGUUAUUCUUGCUGGUGGAAGAUAAAUGAUUUUUUUCUACAAUCUGAUCUACUGCAUGAAUUUUUCCCAUGUCCUUAUCAAUGGAAUGAGGAAAUCUAAUAAUGAUAUUGACAAUGUUAACUGUAUAGAUAAUCCCCAAAAGUGAUAUUAUCUUCAGUUCUAGUAUGGCUGUUGUCUUUCAAGCACAGUUUGGUUUAAGUUGUAAAUAUUAGAAUGUAUUUAGAAAGUGAAAAAUAAAUUAUUUCAAAGGCAAAAUACUGUUGAGUUAAAAGUGUGAUGUUGGAGUUUGGCAGGCUCAGCCCUGCAGAAUACAUUCUAUUGUGGCAUUACAUAUCAUUUCCAUGUACCUUCAUUUUAUGAUCUUCAUUUUGAAUGGUUUGAUGGUUCAGAGGUGUGGUAAUAGAUAUGAAUUUUAUUUUGACAUGUUGAAGAAGGCAUUUAGAUGCGGUGUGUGUGCACUGUGAAAUGAUUAGAAAUUAUUAUGGGGUAGAAAAUUUGUGAUUGAGCUUGAAUGAUUGAAUCUAUUUUAAAAAUGUGCAGAGCUGUUAGCUUUCAGAAUAAUUUGUGCAGUCAAAAGAAAUCAAAAUUCAUUUUAGUUAUUCAUAUUUUAUUUUUGAAGUAAGCCACAGUUACUUAUUUUUUAAAAUAAUGGCCUAACCACAACACUGAUUCUCCCAAAGAGGCAGGAAUCAUCAAAGAAACAUGAGAGAGUACUUUUCUUUAAGGUGAAAUUAAAAGUUAGUAAGUGAAUAAACGGGUUUUUUGUCUAAUUACCUGUUUCUUCUAAUUUUAUGUACUAGAGGGUACACUGAGAGACAGUGCAGAAUGGACAGAGGGCAGAAGUCCAGGGAUUGCGGCAAAGGCCUCACAUAUCAGCUAAAACAUAAAAGUUUGAGGUCAUUUAAAUUUGUUCCUUUUCUACCUACUUGUGUUCCCUCACCUAACCAUUGUAUGGAGCAACUGUGAGGGGCUUAUCUGUAAAACCACAAAUGGAGAGUUCGAUGAAGUUUGAUUAUUUAAUUUCCGAUUGUGACUUUCUUGAGAAUCAGAACUUGGCUUGUAAGGUGGACUCCUGUAGGGCUAAAGACCACAUGCUCUUGGAAAAUCAGCCACUUCAGUCGAGCUUCCACAGGAGUUGAAGAGCAGAAGAUUUGAGAUUAAAAUCUUUGGAGGUAAUGGGAAGUAAAGAUUUCUGUGUUGCUCAUUGUAAAGGCAAUGCAUACAGUUGAGGUGAGGACACGGAGGCCCCCCCUCCUCAAAAGCUUCUUGCAGCCUCUGUGUGUUCUGAAUCAGGAAUCCCAAAGCAAUGAAGAGGUGAUGCCCAGAAAUGCCACCUGUCCACUGACAACUGGUUGGGAAUGGCCAUGGCUCUGUUUCAGGCAAUCUCACUGUCCUAUGUAUUUAGAUAGUGGGAAUGUGGAUGGCUCUCUUGAUAUGUACUUAUGAAGAUUAUAAAAGACUCUUUUUUUAACAUGUAGAUUCUACCUCCCUGUAUUUGAAGGUAGGAUAAAUUUUUUUCUCAGGAAACAGAUUCAGAUCUGAGAUAAUUCUUGUUUGAAUAUUUAAUAGUUCUGUAUCUUGAAUUUUAGA